UACGGGGGGUGCAAGCGUUGUUCGGAAUUACUGGGCGUAAAGGGCGUGUAGGCGGCUAACUGAGUCUGACGUGAAAUCCCCAGGCUUAACCUGGGAACUGCGUCGGAUACUGGAUGGCUUGAAUCCGGGAGAGGGAUGCAGAAUUCCAGGUGUAGCGGUGAAAUGCGCAGAUAUCAGGAGGAACACCGGUGGCGAAGGCGGGUCUCUGGGCCGAUACUGACGCUGAGGAGCGAAAGCGUGGGGAGCGAACAGG
rnacentral:rRNA from 1 species